rnacentral:rRNA from 1 species
UACAGGGGGUGCAAACGUUGCUCGGAAUUAUUGGGCGUAAAGGGCUCGUAGGUGGCCAACUAAGUCAGACGUGAAAUCCCUCAGCUUAACUGGGGAACUGCGUCUGAUACUGGAUGGCUUGAGUUUGGGAGAGGGAUGCGGAAUUCCAGGUGUAGCGGUGAAAUGCGUAGAUAUCUGGAGGAACACCGGUGGCGAAGGCGGCAUCCUGGACCAACACUGGCACUGAGGAGCGAAAGCCAGGGGAGCAAACGGG